UUACUUCAGCAGUACAUAUACUAAAAUUGGAACAAUGCAGAGAUUAGCAUGGCCCUUGUGCAAGGAUGAUAUGCAAAUUCAUGAAGUGAUCCAUAUUUAA
rnacentral:snRNA from 1 species